AAAAACCAUCUAUAUAUUUCAUGUCACUUCCUCUCUCAGUCCUCUUUUGCAGCAGAGAGGUGGCUGGCAGCAGCUUGCUGAGUGUCUUGGCAUCUUGGCGUGGCAGCAGCUAUUGUCCUGUUUAGCAGUGAGUUUCCCUUGAUACCAUACUGGAGGAAGCCUAGUAACCUAGUUCAGACUUCCACAACUCUGGUGCAGUCCCUCAUCACCUCAAGUUUUGACCAUCAGCUUCCUAAUGGGUCUACCUGCCUCAGGUGGUGUGAUGAUGGCUGAGAGCUCUGGAAGCUGCUGAUUCAAUCGCCUCAAGGGAUUGCUGAUGGCUUGCAGAGGUCAACUGUCCAUUGGCAGCCAGCAGAGAUCACAAUUCCGACAGUUCCCCAUUAUGUCAGGAAAAAGCCAAGAUCAAGACUGGUAUUAUUCCUCUCCCCAAGAAGAAAACAGAAAAACAAGACAACAACAACAACCCAGAGCUUUCAGUAGAUUGAUUGGUUCUUAAGUUGUCUCUUCCUUUUAUUCUGGCCAAUCACAUGCAUAUAAUUAUUUUCCUUCUUGCUAAGAUCUAGUUAUAUAGUAUCUUUACUUUUAUAUAGUUAGAUAGUAGAUAUAUGCUUAGUUAUAUAGUAUCUCUACUUUUAAGGCUUGGCCAGAUCUGAUGUUCAAUGAAGUUUCCGUUUUCCCAGGGAUAAAUUAAUGUAAUCAGUGGGGACCUUCUUUGUUAAAACCAAGAAGGUGCCUCCUCUGACCAGUCAUCAUAGGUAGAGGCCAAUAGGUAGAGGAAGCAGGCCCUCCAUCAUACUUGUCAAUUCCAAAUAGCUAAAAGGUAUAUAUGGAUUAGUGGAAUUUCUGUAUCCCCUUUGGUUUCACUCCUCAAAACUUCACCUUGGGUCCCCAUAGUAGUGACUGCUAAUAAUUUCAAAGUUCUAUAAAAGGGAAUUCUUUGUUCUCUUUGAGUUUACACUUGUGAAAGGGAAUCUAUUAUUCCCUUUGUCCAUUUUGAGUUAACACUUUAGUUAACAAUAAACUUACAUACCCCUACUUAGUACCUCA
rnacentral:lncRNA from 1 species